CAAUAAGCGGAGGAAAAGAAACCAACAGGGAUUGCCCUAGUAACGGCGAAGUGAAGCGGCAACAGCUCGAAUUUGAAAUCUGGCCUCGGCCCGAGUUGUAAUCUGUAGAGGAUGCUUUUGGCGCGGUGCCUUCCGAGUGCCCUGGAACGGGACGCCACAGAGGGUGAGAGCCCCGUAUGGUCGGACACCAAGCCUGUGUAAAGCUCCUUCGACGAGUCGGGUAGCUUGGGAAUGCUGCUCUAAGUGGGAGGUAAACUUCUUCUAAAGCUAAAUACUGGCCAGAGACCGAUAGCGCACAAGUAGAGUGAUCGAAAGAUGAAAAGCACUUUGAAAAGAGGGUCAAAUAGUACGUGAAAUUGUUGAAAGGGAAGCGCUCAUGACCAGACUUGCGCCGGGCUGAUCAUCCAGUGGUCUCCACUGGUGCACUCUGCCCGGCUCAGGCCAGCGUCGGCUGUCACGGGGGGACAAAAGCACUGGGAAAGUAGCUCUCUCCGGGGAGUGUUAUAGCCCUAUGCAGAAUACCCCCGCGGCGGCCGAGGUCCGCGCUCUGCAAGGACGCUGGCGUAAUGGUCAUCAGCGACCCGUCUUGAAACACGGACCAAGGAGUCGAGGUUUUGCGCGAGUGUUCGGGUGCAAAGCCCCAGCGCGUAAUUAAAGUGAACGUAGGUGAGAGCUUCGGCGCAUCAUCGACCGAUCCUGAUGUAUUCGGAUGGAUUUGAGUAGGAGCGUAAAGCCUCGGACCCGAAAGAUGGUGAACUAUGCCUGUAUAGGGUGAAGCCAGAGGAAACUCUGGUGGAGGCUCGCAGCGGUUUCUGACGUGCAAAUCGAUCGUCAAAUAUGGGCAUGGGGGGCGAAAGACUAAUCGAACCAUCUAGUAGCUGGUACGC
rnacentral:rRNA from 1 species